CGCACAAGGCUCGACCACACACAGACACUUUUCCAAUCAUUUUCUAACAUCUACAAUAAAAACAUUGGCAUUUUCUCGCACAGUCUCUGUCCUCUCAUCCUUUCCAGGUAAGAUGGCCAUCCCAGUGUUGUGGCAGUCGUUUUAGCAUUACCCAUCAGCGGAGGAGACCCGGGGGGGCAGAGUGUCUGAGCUGCUGAGGCCCCUCGGCCUGUAUGAACUCCAAGCCAAAAUCAUCAUCAGGUUCUCUGAUGAGUAGCUGACCAAGCUGUGGCGCUACCCUAUAGAGCUGCAUGGGAUUGGGAUGUACGGCAAUGACUCCUACAGGAUCUUCUGUGUAGAGGAGUGGAGACAGAGGUGAAACCCCAGGACCGUGAGCUGAACAAGUACCAUGCCUGGUUGUGGGAGAACCAAGAGAGGUUGGGAAUCUGAACUAUGAGGAACUGCAAUGUCACAUUUUAUCCCAACCUGUUUUAUCAGUGGAAGAAUGUUAUAUUUCUUAAUUCAUUAGCCUUAUAACCUGGCUGACAUACCGGUAUCUCUCUUGGAAAUUAUCCAGAAAUUAAGCUACUACUGAUCCCAUCUACUCUCAAGACUCAGUAGUAACA